AACGGUCUAUACCUGCGGUACCUGCGGAAGGAUCAUUAUUGAUUUUAAAAGGGGAUGUGCUGGCUCUCUCGCAUGUGCACUCCUCAUAAAACCAAUUUUAUCCACCUGUGCACUCACAAGUAGACCUGAGGUUCUCUCUAGUCUAUGUUAUUUCACAAACUAUCAUUUAUAUAAUUGAAUGGUUACUUCAUAUGUUAAAACAACUUUUAACAACGGAUCUCUAGAUCGGAAGAGCACACG
rnacentral:misc_RNA from 1 species